UACGGAGGGUGCAAGCGUUAUCCGGAUUUAUUGGGUUUAAAGGGUCCGUAGGCGGAUCUGUAAGUCAGUGGUGAAAUCUCACAGCUUAACUGUGAAACUGCCAUUGAUACUGCAGGUCUUGAGUGUUAUUGAAGUAGCUGGAAUAAGUAGUGUAGCGGUGAAAUGCAUAGAUAUUACUUAGAACACCAACUGCGAAGGCAGGUUACUAAGCAACAACUGACGCUGAUGGACGAAAGCGUGGGGAGCGAACAGG
rnacentral:rRNA from 1 species